UACGGAGGGUGCAAGCGUUGUUCGGAAUUACUGGGCGUAAAGCGCGUGUAGGCGGCCUUCUAAGUCUGGAGUGAAAGCCCGGGGCUCACCCCCGGAAGUGCAUUGGAUACUGGAAGGCUGGAGUACCGGAGAGGAGGGAGGAAUUCCUGGUGUAGCGGUGAAAAGCGUAGAUAGCAGGAGGAACACCUGUGGCGAAGGCGGCCCUCUGGACGGAUACUGCCGCUGAGACGCGAAAGCGUGGGUAGUAAACAGG
rnacentral:rRNA from 1 species